rnacentral:lncRNA from 1 species
UUGAGCACCGUGAAAGAAAAUGCUAACUCACAGGAAGUUUAGGUCAAUAAUGGAGGAGGAGGAGAUCAAAUUGCCACAUUUUCAGAAUCCAGUCGUCAGUACCUGGAGGUAUCCUUACAUUUGCUUUACUCUAUAUAAUUGAAAUAAAUUAUUAAUAAAAUAUAAAAAUAGUAAUCUAUGUAUGAUAUAGAGUCAUGAUUACUUGUCUCAAUCGGUUAUCACGUUCUGUCUAAUACAUCCUCUUAUAUCAUAUUGAUAUCACAUUUUGUACCCAUGUGCGAUGUCUAUGUUAAGAAGACUUUGAACUUUCUGGGGUCUUUCUUAUAUCUUAUUUAUAUCGUAAUUAUUUUUUAUGAAGUAAAAAAAAACUACUUAUGUAGGAAAAAAAAAAGACUUAAUAUGUCGUUAUCUUUUUUUUUUUUCCUUAAAAAGUCUCUUCCAAAAUUUAUUUGAGUUUCAUUCACAGUUGAGUUGGCCUUGUAUCCUUUCCAGUUGGCUUUUACUUUGCCUACUCAGCGUAUAUUUGCAUGUUUCUUAUUCUUAGGUCAUUAAUAAUCUAUUAUAUGUUUUGUCUUCAUCCCAUUAGACACUUGCAAUUUUGUUUAAUUUGGACUCACUCUUUAUUUGUUUUAUUUUUUAUACUGAGAUUCACUCUUUGGUUAUUUACAACUUAGUUUAUUUUUAUAAUAUCUUAUAUUUUUCAUAUUGCCAUUUUCAUUUUUAGCAAGUGUGUCGUGUAAUAUGAUGUUCUCACAAUUAAUCUUAAUUAACCAUGUAAUUAGAAUAAAUUGUUGAAAUUAAAUAUAAGUAAAAUAGUCUGAUUAACUUGUCUCGUCGGUUGUCAUGUCCUCUUUAACACAUCCUCCUUAUCUAUAUCAUAUUGAUACCAUGUUCUGUAUCGUGCUAGUAUUCACAAAAAUUUAGUGCAAUGUCAAUGUACAGACGAAGACUUUGAGCUUCCAGCGUCUUUCUUAAAUGUUUUCCUAGCAAGUUGUGGUUUCUUUUUCCCUUUUUAUUUUGUCAUGCUACAGAGCAAGUUGGGAAAUUGUGAUUUAACAAUGUUAAUUGUAUUUGUCAGUAGUAGUUGUACAAGAAAGAUAAAGACAUAUAUAAAACAUGAGAUCCCAUCAUGAUAUACUCUAUCUCUUUUUGUCUUGAUAAAAACAUAAAAGAGAAAAAUAUAAAUUUAUAUAAUAUAUAAGUGAUAUAAUGUGAUAAUAUAAAACAGAGAAAAUUUAUUUAUCGAACGAUCAAACAAGUUUUUUAUCUAGUAAAAAACUUGUAAAAUAUAGCCUAUAUUUUAUAUAAAUUUUUAUAAACUAAAAAUACUUGAAAAUAUUUAAAUGUAGCUAUCUUCUAAAAAUACUUGGGAAUUGUUUUUUUAAACCGAGAUUCACUCUUUUGGUUUUUCAUAUGUUAAGAGAUGACAAUGAUGAUGGAAUGGUUAGGGGGUCGAAUCCUUUUAUAAUUCUCCUGAUUUCAUCGAAGUGUUCCCAUCUAAUACAAGAUUAUCCUCAAUCAUUGAAGUGUUCCGAUUACAUUCAAUUAGAGAAAAUCCCUUUGGAAUAAAUUCUAAUUGUCUAACUCCUUAACUCUAAUAAGAUUAACCGAAGCCUUAACUUUAAGAAUUCAAAAAGAAAGAAAAAAAUAACAAAUGCAUCAAGAAAUUCUAUUCUCAAACUUAUCCCAAUAUAUACAUGGCAAUCAAUCUCAAUUCCAUCCACAUGCACAAGAUUACAAAAGUUAAUGAAAAGCAUUAAGCUAAUGAAUAGCUUGCAUUGAAUAUAAAAAAGUCAGAUUACAAAAGAUUCUCGUAAAAUUCAUUCAUCACUAACCAACAGGAUUUAGCAAAACAAAAAGAUAAACAAAGUGAAAGAGUAAGAGAUGAUGGUAGAUGGAGGUACUUCCACUAUUUCUUCAAGGCCCUUUAGGUCAUGGUACACUGCUUCUGGAGUCUUUAACACUCAGCUCAAUUGCAACUACUUUGUUCUUAUUCCCUGCAAAAUCAAUGGAAAUAUACAUAAAAAGAAAAAUACUUACAAAAUAAAAUGAGCAAAAAAAAUAUACCAUGUCUAUCUUAUAUUUCAAUGUUUCAAUAGUUUCUUGCACCCAAAAAAAAUAUUUCGAUACUUUUAUACCUUUUCAUUAAAUGUGAAUUUAAGGUUUGUCAAAAUUUAUACUAACUCUUAUCUUAUAUUAAAUAUGUGAAUAUAUAUCGUAACACCUCUUACAAAUCUUCACUCACACUUGUCCUAUAAAAUUCACAAUUAUAAAAAAGUGAAUCUCAGGUAUUAAAAUCUUAAAUAAUUAACACACAAUCUAAUCGAUCUAUAAAUCUACACUAUGCUAUAGUAUACUUCAAUUAUACCAUGUUAGGAAAUAUUCAAGUCCCACGUUGGUUAAAAAUAAAUCCACAUUAGAAUAUAUAAAUGAGGAGCAACCCUCAGUCCUUGAGUUAUUUUUUGGGGUUGAGUUAGAUCCAAACUCACAUUCUAAGUGUUGGAUAAUACCCAAGUCUCACAUCGGCUAAAAAUAAAGUCAUAUUAGUAGGACCCUGAAAGAAUGAUGGUAUUAGAGCAGGUUCUGAUCCUGGGUGUGACCGCUAAACCUCGUUUUGUGGUGACAAGCACCCACCAUUACCAAUAGAAAUAAAAAAUUCAAAUUAGUUGAGAUCCAAUAUUGUACCAAUUAUUUAUAUUUUCUUGCAAUUUUUAGACAAUUUUACUCCUAAUUAACUUGUAUGAGUGAUACACAAAAGAAAAAUAAAGUAAAUACCAGAACAAAAAGGGUGUCAAAAGGAAAUCAUUUCAGGAAUUAGAAAAAGGUUGCAUUUUUCUUAAUGUUUGAAGGAAUUUGUUGUUUUUAGAAAGAUACGAAUGAUUAAAAGAUAAAGAAACUCAGGAUAUUACUGCAGAAGAAAGGCUGUUUUAUUGAUCUGAAAAGCAGAGUGCAUUUUACAAAGAGAUGCUAAAAUAUAUAGAUAAAACUCCUAUGGGUUGUUGCCUAAAAAAUAGAAGAUAAAUUUAAAACCAGCAUAACAGCAUAACAGCCUAACAACAUAUCUGAACAGCAUAACAACCUAACAACAUAUCUGCAGCAUAACAGCAUAUCCUAAAAAAAACUAGCAACAAUUUAAAAAAUUUGUUUCAAGAGUCAAACAGUUAACAGAAUAAAUGCCAAGAAUAUCAUUCAAGAGACAUAUUAUUGAUUAAUUAAUUAAUAAGAAAAAAAAACACACCUUUGAUUACGAUUUCUAACUUUGUGAGUGAUGUCUUCUGUUGAGGUUUUUCCGAAGUUCUACACCAACCCGGAAAAUAAUGUUACAUGGGGCACAUGCUGGAUGACCCAACGCUCUUGUCCUCCAUUGAGAGAAAUGCUUUGCUCAAACUCAGUGGGCAUAAACCACAUAUUGAGAACUUUAAGUUUCUUCAAGUGUUGAAUGCCAGAGGGUAUUUUCUUGAGUUGAGGGAUUCUGUAUAACUGAAGCUUUUCCAAAGAAUGCAGCGCUCCUUCAUCAAUAGAGAUGGAACUCAAGUAAUGCAAAUCUUCGAGCUUUAGUUCCUUUAGUUUCUGAAACCCUCCAUAUUGAAAAUGCAAAGCUCUACCUUGAUAAGCACGACGGCUGAUAGAGAGGAACAACAAACUUGGCAUAUCUUUUAGUGAUUCCAAUGGAUCAUAAAUUAAGUUAGAGCACAUCAAGGACAAUUUCGUAAGAUUAAGGAGCUUUGGAAUCCAAUCUGGCCACUUUGUUAACUCCCCACUUAGGCAAAGCUUCCUAAGUGUAGACAAGGAUGACAUAAAGGGCAAGUCAAUUACUUGGUGGUCUUCGUCUGUAUCAACAAAUAGUUUCUCCAAAUGACGCAUCUCAUUUAAUGAGGAACACAGAGCGUUUUUGUGUGCUUCUCUGAAUUCAGUAAUGCUCAGAUUUCUUAACUUCUUUAGCUUUCCUAGCUCUCUAAUCACCACUCCAUCAUAAUCAAUUAUCAGCAUAGAUAUCUUUUGUAGAGAUGUCAUGCCUCCAAGACUAUCCUUCAAUUGAACGGAAGAUAUCUUGUUAGCCAGAAGAUGACAUAGUUUUCUAAGCUCACUAAUCUCCUUUGGCAUCUCAUGCACAUUUGUUUGUCGCACAUCCAAGGUCUCCAAGUUUUGGAGCUUACCAAUGGAUCUUGGAAGACUUUUUACUCUUGUAUUCCUGAAGCUUAAAUACUUCAAGUAGAUUAAAUUCCCCAAAUUUUCAGGGACAUGAUAUAAUCGAGCAUCUUCAAAAUCAAGUACCUUCAAUGGAGUGGAGUUUGCGGGAAUUCUAUUGAUGAAAUCUUGAGAUAAUCCUUUGUUUGUGAAAAAUAGAAUCACCCUAAUGUGUGAGCUUUCAAUGCUUAAAUCAUUGGAACCCGUUGCAAUUGUCAGGCGUCGAAUGAUCCCACUUGACACUAAUUGAUCAUGCUCAUCAAUCUCACUUGACACAGAUUGAUCACGCUCACCAACAUACUGACAAAAUCCCGUAUCCUUGAUUUUUCUAAUGAUCAUCUCACGUAUUGAGUCAUGGACACAGCAUGUCUUAACUUUUCCAUCGAUGGUGAAUGAAGUCACUUGUACCAAACUUCUAUUAAUCAACUCUGUUAAAUAUUGUUGUGCAAGUUCUUUCAAAGUUUUCCUCCCUUCAUAUUUCACAAACCAUUCUGCUAUCCACUGUCUAAUCAAUCUACUAGAUUUAACUUCAUAGUCUUCAGGAUACAUUCCGAAAUACAAUAAACAUGAUUUGAGAUUGUAUGGCAAAUUAUCAUAACUUAAACUUAAAAUUUUUAUGAUACUAAUUAACCUAGAAUUUCCCUCCAACUCUAAUCUUAGACGCUGACUAAACCUUUCCCAUUCACCUUUGUCUUUAGGUUUGUUAGCUAAAAGGCCACCAAUAACCACAAUAGCUAGAGGAAAACCUUGACACUUCUUAACAAUUUCAAGAGAUGUAUUUUCAAGUCCUUCUGGACAACAUCCAUUAAAAUCACGCUGAAAUGCCUUCUUAUAGAACAAUUUCAAAGAUUCUACUUCAGUUAAAGGAUUCAUCUUAUGCACAUGAACAAAACAAGAUUCCUUACAACACACUGCAACAUCUUUGUCUCUGGUUGUGAUUAAUAUCCUACUCUUUUCUUUAUUAUCAAAUAAGGCCAAUUUAAUGUCAUACCAAAAUUCUUUAUUCCAUACAUCAUCAAAUACGACAACGUACCUCUUGCCGUUCAGGUAGUUUCUCACUUCAUCUAUCAACGACUCUCGAUCCAUGGUAGAAACAUUCUGGGGAGGACUAUUCUUUUUAUCUUCGUAAAACUUGCACAACAAUUUCCUCAGCAAUUCUACUACAGUGUAGGAUUGAGAUACAGUGAUCCAUGCAUGACAAUCAAAAAGCUUACGGACAUCUGGGUUGUCAAAAACUUGCUUGCUGAGAGUGGUUUUACCCAAUCCUCCCAUUCCUUCCACGGUGAUGACAGUGAGCUCUUUGAGUCCAUCUACCAACCAAUCUUUCAAAAUUUUUCUCGGGCCUUCCAAACCCUCAGUGUCAGCUUCAUGAGUAUGUAGAGCAGCCAGUCUAAUGUUUUGCCACGCGGCAUUUUGAUUUCCUCUAGAACUGUAUGGUCUUUGUUCUAAAGAAAAUUGGCUACAUAAACCAUAUCUUUCCUUGAUUCCACAGACAAGUGAUUUCACAUCGUGAAUCUUAUACGCUAAUAGAAUACGAGGGAUCAGAGUUUUCGUGAAGCCAACAGCAUCACAGGGUAAAACUGCACAUCCAGGAUCACCAGGUUGCUUUUCCUCACAGGAGAUCUCAUAUUCAUCGAUGACAUCUUCCAUGCAAAAAGCUGCUUCUCUCAGCUGUUUCACCAUUUUUUUUAUUCCUUCACGCCUAUCAGCAUCUUGUUCAUCUUCAGCUUCUUUAUCAGCACCAUGGAUGAAAGCUUUAAAGCUUUCCAGAUCAGCUUCAAUGUCUGCAGACUCCUUUUUUACACCCCUGACCUGAUUGAAUACAUCCACAAUUAUUGGAUACACCGCACGAGCGAAGGACACUAAGUAGUCCCAGUUACACAUUUUUUGCUUUGUAGUGACUAGCUAGUGACUGCGAUACGUUUUUUGCUUUGUGGUGAGUGCUAAUUGUUAUGAAUGGAGCAAGGCCUUGUUUCGAGGACAAGGUACCUCCUGGACUCAAGUUAUGGAAAAUGCCUUUUUCUUAUUUUCCUUCAUUCCUUGCAACCUUAUUUAUACAUUUCUAAUAUUAAUUCUGUAACAAACUUUGAUAACAGAAUAUCCUAACAAUCUUUAUUUCUAGAAUAUCCUAAUAGUAACUGCUUCUAGAAUAUUAUCAUAGUCAUGCUUCUGGUUGCAUUGUUCCUUCUUUGGUAGAGGCUUGCUUAUGUUCACGUGAUGUAGUCCUUCAGGUAGUGAGGGGGUUGAGUGUUUCUGAUGGGCCUAGUUAUGCCUGUGUGUGUAUUACUAGCAGCACCCCUGUCUGUGAAUGUAGUGUCCCUCUCUGUGUGUAUAUUGCUAUCAACACCCCCCUCCUCGAAAUCCACCUUGUCCUCAAGGUGGUAUUGUGCCUUUAAUUCGUCCCAUGAUUCCCAAGUAGAGUCUUCAGGGGCUUGUCCUACCCACUGGACCAGGACCAGGCGUGUGGGAGGUUGGGUUGAGUCAUCAAACUUGGAGCUUAAGAUGGAUAACGGGCUCAACACAGGUUGGUUGUUAACCAUUGUUAGGGGAAUUGGGUCCGCUGUUGUCAUCGGAAGGGGACCCUGGUGGGGCCGAAGGAGUGAACAAUGAAAAACGGGGUGGAUCUUGGCAGUGGGGGGAAGCUGCAACCGGUACGCAACGGGCCCAAUCUUCUCGAGAAUCUGGAAUGGGCCAAAAAAUCGUUUGGACAGCUUGGGAUGGGCGGUACCAGUAAUAGAGCGUUGACGGAUCGGUCGGAGCCGAACAUAGACCCAUUGACCCACUUCGAAGUGGACGUCACGCCGGUGAGCAUCGGCUUGGUGUUUCAUGGUAUCUUGAGCCUUGAGUAGACGUCGUCGAAGAGUGUCAUGAAGUACCUGGCGCGACGUCAAUAGAGAAUCAACAGCUUCGUUGGUAGAGGACCCUGUGAUGUAGUGUGGAAUGGACGGUGGAGCUUUGCCGAAAACGAUUUCAUAUGGAGUGAAGCCGGUGCUUGAGUGGACCGACGUGUUGUAGGACCAUUCCGCCAUGGCUAAGAAUUUAAACCAGUGCGAGGGAUGAGCGCUGACAAAGGAGCGUAAGUAUUGUUCUAACACGCGGUUCAUGACCUCCGUCUGACCAUCCGUCUGUGGGUGGUAGGCGGUGCUCAUCUGCAGGCGUGUACCACUCAGCCGGAAUAGUUCCCGCCAAAAGGAACUAACGAACACAGGGUCGCGGUCCGAUAUCAAGCUGCGAGGAAGACCGUGGUGCUUACAGACCAUGUCGAGAAACAACACCGCUACUCUGUAAGCCGUAAAAUUAGUAGGGAGGGCACCGAAAUGGACUCCCUUGGAGAAGCGGUCGACGACGACUAGUAUCACCGUGAAACCAUGUGAGCAGGGUAAGUGGGUGAUGAAGUCGAGGGAGAGAUCUUCCCAGACGCCGGAAGGGAUGGGUAUAGGGUGGAGGAGGCCCGUCGGUCGUGAAGUGGAGUGCUUCGAUUGUUGACACGUGACACAAUUGCGCACGAAUUUCUUUACAUCUUGGCGGAGAGUUGACCAAUAGAAGUUGGUGCUGACUCUGUGAGAGGUCUUUGCGAUGCCCAGAUGUCCCCCUAAAGGAGUGGAGUGAAAUUCAGUGAUCAAUACUGGAAUGAAGGGAUUGUCGGAAGUCAACCAGAUACGCCCCCGAAAGAAUAAUAGACCAUUAGAGAUGGUGAAGUCCGGUUGAUCCAAAGGAUGAGCUUGAACAUUGGCCAUGGUGGUUUGAAAUUCGGUGUUAUCGUGGAGGGAUUGGCGUAAUUGAUCCAUAAAUGUGAAAUUAGGAAUAGAUAGGAGGAGAUACUAGCUUUCCGGAGGUAACGUGACGCGUGAGAGGGCGUCCGCUACUGCAUUCGAAGCGCCGGUUUUGUACUGGAUGUCAUAAUCGUAGCCCAGUAAUUUGGAUAGAUAGUGCUGCUGCUCCGGGGUCUGGAUGACCUGAGAUAAGAGGUCCUUGAUACUCUUAUGGUCCGUGAGUAUCGUGAAACGGUGACCCAAUAAAUAUUGGCGCCACUUGCGCACGGCUGACACAAUGGCAUGAAGCUCCCGUACAUAAGUAGAAGAUCGUAAAAGCCGCGGUCCGAAAGGUUUGCUAAAGUAGGCAAGGGGAUGACCCUGUUGAAGGAGAACGGCACCCAUGGCAGUGCCUGAUGCAUCAGUUUCGAGGACAAAGGGGUGUUCGAAAUUGGGCAAAGCCAGCACUGGAGCUCGGGUCAUUGCGGUUUUCAGUGUCUCAAAGGCGAGCUGGGACUCUGGGGUCCAGUCAAAGGCGUUUUUGCAGAGGAGGGCCGUCAACGGGGAGGCCAGGGCGGCAUAACCUUGGACAAAUUUGCGGUAGAAGCCUGUGAGGCCCAAAAAAGCACGGAGAUCCUUAGGGGUCUUGGGGGUGGGCCAGUCGAUCAUGGCUCUAAUUUUAGAGGGGUCGGGCUCCACGCCACGCUCCGAGAUGAUGUGGCCCAAAUACUCCAGGCGCCUCUGAGCAAAGGAACACUUGGUAUGUUUGAGGUAGAAUUGGCCCUGUAACAAGGCUUGGAACACGAGUUCGAGAUGAUGGAGGUGGGCCUGCAAAGAAUCACUAAAGACAAGUAUAUCAUCAAAGAAAACCGCAGUGAAACGACGGAGAAAGGGUUGGAGCAAGGUGUUCAUGGCGGCUUGGAACGUUGACGGGGCAUUACAGAGACCGAAUGGCAUGACACGGUACUCGUAAUGUCCCUGAUGAGUCCGGAAUGCUGUCUUUGGAGUAUCUUCAGGAGCCAUAAGAAUUUGGUGAAAGCCUUGUUGCAGGUCGAGUUUCGAGUACCAGGAUGCAUGGCCCAAAUCGUCCAACAAUUCAUCAACAGUAGGCAUUGGGAAACGAUCCCGAAUGGUCACGGCGUUAAGAGCGCGAUAAUCGACGCACAUACGCCAACUGUCGUCUUUUUUCUUUACCAAGAGGACAGGGGAGGAAAAGGGACUCCGGCUGACUUGAAUGAGGCCGGCGGAGAGGAGGUCGGCCACCUGUUUCUCAAUCUCGGCUUUCUGAAAAUGCGGGUAGCGAUAAGGACGAACAUUAAUGGGCUCCGUGUUGGGUCGUAAAUGGAUGUGAUGGUCAAUGGAGCGUGAGGGGGGUAGGGCUGUGGGUGUUUGGAAAAGGGAUUGGUAUUUGUGGAUUAAAGCAUCAAUGGCGGGUAUGGACGAAGGUGUUGAUGAGGGUGGGUGCUGGGGGAUGGUGGUGUCACUAGCAGGGAGGACGCAAAGGUGGAAGAGGGCUGAAGUGGCAUUGGUCUGGAUCAUACGCUUGAUUUGGGUAGCAGAAAUAGGGUGCGGCCCAUGGUCGGCGUCGACAUGAAGCUCGACGGGUUGGCCCAGGUGGUGAAACUUCAUAAUGAGGGAGGUGUAGUCAGUCGUAAUGGGCCCAAGUAGUUUUAGCCACUGGAUUCCCAAAAUGACGUCGGCACCACUAAUAGGCAAAAGGUGAAACGUUAGGGUAAAAUGGUGAGACUGGAGGGAAAUGGUGGUGUCGGGGCAUAAGUGGGUACAUGUGAGGACGGCGCCAUUGCCGACAAGAACUCGCAGAGGGUUAGUGGGGACGGUGGGGAGGUGGAGGAAGGUAGCAAGUCGGGGUUGCAAGAAAUUGUGGGUGCUACCACUGUCAAUAAGGACAGUGAUGCGCGUAUGGUUGAUAUAGCCGAAGAGGCGGAAGGUCUCGGGGGUGGGGAGGCCGGAAAGGGCGUUAAGGCUGAUGUGAGGAGUGGGGAAAGGAAGAUAAAAAUCAGGGAUGGGGUCAAGGUCCGUAGGGGGGGUAGAGGCCGGGAGGGAUGGUGGUGGGGAGUUGAAGGGUAAAACGGCGUUGUCGGGGUUGUCGGGGGUGUCGGGGUCUGCGAUAAGUAAAAGGACGCGCCCCUUGCAAUGAUGGGAAGCGCUCCACUUAUCGUCACAAUUAUAACAGAGGCCGCGUUCGCGGCGGUAAGCGAUUUCGGAGGGUGUGCGUUGGGUGAAAGGGGGUUUGGGUCGUGGGGGUGGUAAUGGAGAAGGAAAGGUGGUGGGAUGGGCAGGGGCUAUGUGGGGAAUGGUAUUAGGGUGGCGUGGAGGUCUAGGACGGUCACGGAGCUUGUCCUCCUGAAGCUUCGCUAACGCGGUGGCCUGCGGAAAAGAGAUGGGCUGGAGGGCUAAGACCUCCCGGCGGAUGUCCGGGGCAAGACCGGAUACAAAGCAACUCAACAGGAAUGGGGGUGGGAGCCCGAAAAUCCUGUUCGCGAGGCGUUCGAAUUCGAUCAGAUAAUCAUUGACGGAGCCGGUCUGGGUUAGCUUGAACAAAGCCCCUUUCGGGUCAUCGUAGUACGUGGGAGCGAACCGGGACUCCAAAGCCUGAAGAAAACUGGACCAGGAUGUGAUGAAGCCAUUGCGGAACAUCCAUUGGUACCAGCUGAGCGCCGGACCAUCGAGGUAGAAAGAGGCUAAGGUAACUCGUUCCUCUUCUGGCGUUCCCUGAUAUUCAAACAGCUGGGUGAUUUUGAAAAUCCAACCCACGGGGUCGGAUCCGUCGAAACGUGGAACAUCAAUUUUGACAUGAUUGCGUGAUGCAGGGGGCGGUUUGGGAGAGGAGACGGGGCUCGCGCUGCUUUGGCGGUCGAGGCGAUCCAGGAUGGCAUCAACUUUGCUGGCAAGCUCGGAAUGGUGCAGGGAUAGGCGGGAGAUGGCCUCCUCGAGCCUAUCCGUGGUGGUCUUACGUGUGUUAUGGUCAGCCAUGGAAGGGCAGGUCGGACCAAAUGUUAUGAAUGGAGCAAGGCCUUGUUUCGAGGACAAGGUACCUCCUGGACUCAAGUUAUGGAAAAUGCCUUUUUCUUAUUUUCCUUCAUUCCUUGCAACCUUAUUUAUACAUUUCUAAUAUUAAUUCUGUAACAAACUCUGAUAACAGAAUAUCCUAACAAUCUUUAUUUCUAGAAUAUCCUAAUAGUAACUGCUUCUAGAAUAUUAUCAUAGUCAUGCUUCUGGUUGCAUCGUUCCUUCUUUGGUAGAGGCUUGCUUAUGUUCACGUGAUGUAGUCCUUCAGGUAGUGAGGGGGUUGAGUGUUUCUGAUGGGCCUAGUUAUGCCUGUGUGUGUAUUACUAGCAGCACCCCUGUCUGUGAAUGUAGUGUCCCUCUCUGUGUGUAUAUUGCUAAUCUUCAUGUUCUUCAAGAUUAUAUAUAGCCAAGUCCAUGGUCAUAGACUCAUAGGAGGAGUUUGAUGGUAUGAUUUUCCCUUUUCCAUUCUUUAAUAUUUAUUUAGCAAGUUGGAUACAGCUAAUUAAUUUACAGAUUUUAUUCGAUUGUUUAAUUGGUCCAUGCUUUACUGUUUGCAAAUGUAAUUAGUUAUCACAGUAUGCAUACCAUAUCACGGUACCCAAUUUUUUGUAAGUUGCACAUACAAUAUAGUUAGUAUAACUUUAAGGUAAUUAUGAUUAAUGGGAUGAUAUGAAUGGAUAAUUUCAUAUUCAUUUUCUUCAAAUAAUUUGACUUCAUUAUAAAACACAUCUCCUUAUUUUAUCUAUUUCAUCAAAUUAGUCCUCCUAUUUUUUAAUUUACUAUUUAAAUCUCUCUAUAUUUUAAGAUGCUUGAGAAAAUACUAGAAUUAUAAUCCUUUAAGUAAAUGACACAUUUUUUUAACACUACACUCACAUGAUAUAUUUGGUACAAAAUAUAGUAUCAAUAUAAGUUUUAUGAAAAAAUAGUUCAAAAUUCAAAUUUUAUUUAUUUUAAUUUAUUAUAAUUUUAUAAUCUUAUAUAUUAUCUUUCAUAAUAUAAUAUAUGAGAUUAAAUUCUAUUUUUUAUAUAAAUUAAAAUUUGUAUACUUAUAUAGGCGUUAUUUUAUUUUAUAUAUUAUAUUUUUAUAAUAUUAUAUAUUUUUAUUACAUUAUUCAAAAAUUAUUUUACACAAUAAAUAUAUAAUAUAAAUUUUAUCUUUAAUAUAUAUAUUUUAAUAUAAAUUAUACUUUCGUAAAAUAAUAUUAUUUUAUUAUAUUUUAAAAUAUUUAUAUAUGUAACUUAAUGGCAGUUGUUUUUAUCUAUACUAAGAUAUUCUUGUUAUUUAUAAUAAUAUUAUUAUUUAUUUAAAUUUAAUUUUAUUUAAUCAGGUACAUAUUUUUUUAGGAAUUAAAUUAUAUAGUUAAGAUAUAUAAUUAAAUAAAAUGAGAGUAUUUUUUAUUUUAAAAAAUAUUUAUAUAUAUGAUUUAUUGACAUUAUUUUUUAUGUAUAUUAAACCAAAUAACAUGAAUAUAUUAAUAUAGAUAAAAAAAUAUUAUCACUAAAUCACAAGCAAUAUUUUAAAAGAUAAAUAUAAUAUAUAAAAUAAAAAUAAUACUUAUAUAGAUAUAGAUAUUCUAAUUUAUGUAAAAAUAGAAUUUAAUCUUAUAUAUUAUAUUUUAAAUGAUAAUAUAUAAGAUUAUUAAAAUAUAAUCAAUUAAAAAAGAAUAAAUUUUAAAUUAUUUUCGCAUUAAACUUAUAUUAAUAAUAUAUUUUAUAUUAAAUAUUCAAAUAAAUACUUUGCUGUAUUAGUAAUACAUGCAUGUGCUUUUUAUUUUAAGGACCAUAAUUUUAGUCUUUCCUCAAACAUUUUUAAAUUUUUAUUAUUUUAAAAAAAUAUUGGUCAACUUUUUAGUUUAAUCAACAUUUAAAUUUUAAUAGUCAACGAUUACCAAUGGUUAAAAUCAACACCGAUAACUAAAAUAGUGAAUUUUAAAAUAUAAGAGAAUUUAAAUAAUCAAUUCAAAAAUAAGAAGAUUGAUUCAAUGAAAUAAUUAAAAUAAGAAGAUAAAUUUUGUAGUUAAGCAUAUUUUUUUCUCCAUUCGAUUAAUGUAUGAAUUGCAUGUUAGCCACGUGCAAUGACACACAUUGUCACAAACUUUAUUAUAAUAUCUAGUAUACUUUCAUAUUGCCUUUUUUAUAUUCAGUAAGUGUGUGAGAUGAUCUUCUCACGUACUAUUCAUCCUAUUUUUUAGGUGAAAAUUUACAUUAGGGGAAGCCAUGCCGCCUCUUGUAAAGUCAAGGAAGGCUAUCAACCCCAGUGAAAAUUUAUAGUAAUAAUAUUCCCAUAUUACCUACCGAAAUAGGAAAAUGAAUCCAUGUUAUAGCAAGUGUGGACAAAAGCCUCCAUCAAAUGUGUCAUCUCUAGUUAGCCUCACAAUUAAUUAAUCUUAAUUGUAUAAUUAUAAUAAAUAUAAAAUUAAAUUUAAGUAAAAUAAUAAUCUAUGCAUAAUUAUACAAGCAUGAUUAAAUUUUCUGGCCUUCAGGUUUUCUCUUAUACAUCUCCUUUAUCUAUAGCAUAUCAAUGUUAUAUAUUUUGUACCCAUUAGGGUUAUAUAAAAAAUUUAUCACAUAUGUUGAGAGGAAGACUUUGAACUUUUCAGCAUCGGUCAUCUCUUAAAUAUAUGGUGAGCAAGUUGUGCUAUUUCCCCCUCUAUUUUUGUCGUGCUAGAGCAAGUUGUGAAUUUGUUAUCUAGUUAAUUAUAUAUAAAUGUGAUUAAUUAAGCAAAUGUUAGAUGUAUUUGUCAGUGUUAGUUGUACCGAUAAAAUGUAAAUAAAAUACCGUACACUUGUCAAAUGAUUUACCUUGCUGGUAUAUAUAUAAUUUUGAUUAUUCAUUUGGC